CUCGUAGGCGGUUCGUCGCGUCCGGUGUGAAAGUCCAUCGCCUAACGGUGGAUCUGCGCCGGGUACGGGCGGGCUGGAGUGCGGUAGGGGAGACUGGAAUUCCCGGUGUAACGGUGGAAUGUGUAGAUAUCGGGAAGAACACCAAUGGCGAAGGUAGGUCUCUGGGCCGUUACUGACGCUGAGGAGCGAAAGCGUGGGGAGCGAACA
rnacentral:rRNA from 1 species